AUGGUUAAGUGACUAAGCGUACACGGUGGAUGCCUUGGCAGUCAGAGGCGAUGAAGGACGUAUUAACUUGCGAUAAGCCCAGAUUAGGCAGUAAAAGCCACUUGAGUCUGGGAUUUCCGAAUGGGGAAACCCAACUGCAUAAGCAGUUACUGUUAACUGAAUACAUAGGUUAACAGGGCGAACCGGGGGAACUGAAACAUCUAAGUACCCCGAGGAAAAGAAAUCAACCGA
rnacentral:rRNA from 1 species